rnacentral:rRNA from 1 species
UGCGUAGGCGGCUACGUGUGUCAGAGGUGAAAGCUCACGGCUCAACCGUGGAAUUGCCUUUGAAACUGCGUGGCUUGAGUCCGAGAGAGGAUGAUGGAAUUCCUGGUGUAACGGUGAAAUGUGCAGAUAUCAGGAAGAACACCGGUGGCGAAGGCGGUCAUCUGGCUCGGUACUGACGCUGAGGCACGAAAGCUAGGGUAUCAAACG